AAGGGGAAUGAGUCCAUGAGGCGAUACUGGAAUUGGGGACCCACUCAGGGUGGACCAGGGGCCAGGGAGGGUCAGAUACCUGGACUGAUAGUGGAGGAGGGGGCUGGAAUGCUUCCAUGGGAUGGAAAGGUAAGUGCAAGAGAGAAGAAAGUUGUUGUGAGGCCGGGAACAUGGCUGGGUGGAUCCACAAAGUAUAAAGAACAUUUAAUUUUAAGUCAGAUCAAGCAGGCUCUCCACCAAUUAGUUGGGUGGCUUCAGGGCAGUGUCUUUAUUUGCGUUUCCCUAGAAGCAGACCUUGGGUCAAAGAUGUGAGUGCAAGUUGCUAAUUUGGGGUGAUUCUAGCUGAUAAUUGUAGAAGAAUAGGGCAGUAAGGUAGGGAAGAGAAGGCAGAGAGAAUAGGGUGAAUUUUAAAGAAAGUUAGCACAGUAGGAACUGGAUCUCAGUUCCACUGGGGAACUUUCAGAGUUCCAGAGUUAUCUCACCAAAUCCCAUCAGCCAUGGUUGAGGCUCCUACAGGGAAGAGGUCUGGUAAUUCUAGCCUGCUGUACAGGAGGCCAGGGUAAACUCCUUCAGGCAGUUAGUUACAGGUGUUGGCAGGCAGCUGGAAGUCUGGCCAAAAUGCAAGGAAAUAUUAAGAGACAAGAGGAUAUUACAAAGGCACAGCCAGUGUUCUUACAGGAAGUCAAUUAACAUUCUGGUUCUGUUUCCCCAUUUUUAAAGUGAGAAUCCUAAUAUUUGUUCUUGGACAUGUUGAAAUGGAAACGAUGGCAUGGGCUGCCAUCCAGGAUCCCAAACACCUUGCUCCUUGGAAGUGCUGCUUGCCCUUUGGAAAUGUUCACAGUUUUUUUGAGAUUUCCAAAAGGAAUUCUUUCUCCUGAAGACGACUCUACUUGAUUUGAGAUGUCACUGAAAUGUCUACUAGAAGUACCCACGGCCCUGGCCAUGGAUUCUCCUUUUGGUCCCCCUUUCUUCACAAGGCCAGAGACACUGAUAUCAUCAAGCAAGCAAGGAUAAUUCUCUGAAAGACCUUCAGACAUGGCAUCAUCGCCUCCCUGUCCUCACUACAACUCUGUAAUCUGCUCCUUGGAAAGAACAAACACAUCUUGGCAUGCCUUGCUCAGAAAUAAUAUCACAGCUUAUUGAUUCCACCGACUCCCUCACAAGAGAAAACUGUGCUCAACAUGGGGAAGGAGGUCUCAGGCUCCACACCGGGUCUUCUUGGGGUCUUCCAUCACUGAAGGCCACUGGUAACUAGUCUAUAGCCAGUAUGGUAACUGGAAGUGGAUAGAUUUGAGCAGGAUACAACUGUGAACACCAAAGACAAGACCUGCACUUCUAGACCAGUUAUCAGUCCAAUGAGAAAACCCUCUUGCCUCACCUGUGACUCAUGAUCCAUCCACUGAGAUUCCUGGGGUCACAGCAUCCUGAGCAAGGAGGGGCGUAUUGAUACUAAAGGGCUUAGGGAGGGUCAGUUUGCCUGUCCGACCCCUGCCAGGGCUCCAGUCCCCUUUAGUUAAAGGAAAGCUCCUGGACCAAGGCUGUAGGGAGAGGGUGAGUGGCAAGAGUAGGUUUUGGAUGAAUAUACAUGCUGCUUUACUUGUAAUUGUCAGCUGCUAUCAAACUAGUACUUUUCUACUAAAUCAACCUCACUCACUGGAAUAGGAUGUCUAACGGAACAACCUGGUGGGAGCUGACUCAGCCUCCCAUCUGUAAAACAGAGAAUGAUGCCUACCUAAUGGAGUUGUGAAAAAUAAAUGAAAUAAAUACAUAAUGCGUGAUAUGCAGGAUAUAUUCAUAAAAUGUGGCUUUUAACCACGACUUCCAUAUUUCUG